ACAUUUAGAAAUUCUGAAAAAAAAUUGGUUGGGUACAGAAGCUUCACACAAACCGAUUAGGGUUGCCGUGUCCUCCUUCUAUCUCUGGCUUUUUCAUCAUCAGCUAUGAGGUGGUUUAGAGCAGGGGCUGGUCUGGCAAAGCUUGCUGUUAGGAGGUCGUUAUCGACUAGCGGAUCCUAUACUGUGACAAGAUGUGUUGCUCCGGCGCACAAUCAGUACUUACACACCACGAUAUGCAAGUUCCUCGGCCGGUUCUGCUUUCUAGCUUACUGAUAGUUUUUUGGAUGGGACCAGCAGUGUGUAUUUGGAAGGGCUUCAGAGGGCCUGGGAAGCUGACCCCAAUAGCGUUGAUGAUGAGUCGUGGGCUUCCUCCCUUUCUCGAAGGUUGUGAAACUCUCAUUCCUGGUAUGAAGGAGAUGUUUGAUAGGGCAGCAGAUAUUGGGGCUGAGAGCAUAGUUAUUGGAAUGCCUCACAGAGGAAGACUGAAUGUAUUGGGUAAUGUGGUCCGAAAGCCUUUGUGUCAGAUAUUUAGUGAAUUCAGUGGUGGCACAAAGCCAGUAGAUGAAGUUGGGCUCUACACAGGGACUGGUGAUGUCAAGUACCACUUGGGAACUUCUUAUGAUCGACCCACUAGAGGUGGGAAGAGAAUUCAUCUAUCUCUUGUUGCAAAUCCAAGUCACUUGGAAGCAGUGGAUCCAGUUGUCAUUGGAAAAACAAGAGCGAAGCAAUAUUAUUUCAAAUGAUGUGGACAGAACCAAGAAUAUGGGGGUUUUGAUUCAUGGAGAUGGUAACUUUGCCGGACAGGGAGUGGUCUAUGAGACUCUGCAUCUUAGUGCUCUUCCUAAUUACACCACUGGUGGGAUUAUACACAUUGUGGUGAACAACCAAGUUGCCUUCACGACUGACCCAAUGUCUUGUAGAUCUUCAGAGUACUGCACUGAUGUUGCUAAAGCCUUGAACGCCCCUAUUUUCCAUGUUAAUGCUGAUGACAUGGAGGCAGUUGUUCAUGUCUGUGAGCUAGCAGCCGAGUGGUGCCAGACUUUCCAUUCUGAUGUUGUAGUUGAUUUAGCGUGUUAUCGUCGCUUUGGGCACAAUGAGAUUGAUGGGCCAUCAUUUACGCAGCCCAAAACGUACAAAGUUAUCAGGAAUCAUCCAAACCCUCUAACUAUUUACAAAAACAAACUUUUAGAGUCUGGACAGGUGACUCAAGAAGAUAUUGAGAGGAUACAGAGCAAGGUUACUACAAUUCUAAAUGAAGAGUUCUUAGCUAGCAAAGAUUACCUUCCUCAAAGAAGGGACUGGCUUUCAUCCCAUUGGUCCAGGUUCAAGUCACCGGAACAGCUUUCUCAUAUCCGUAAUACUGGUGUAAAACCCAAUAUUUUGAAGAGUAUUGGUAAAGCUAUCACAGCCCUACCAGAAAAUUUUAAACCUUACAGGGCAUUAAAGAAGGUAUAUGGAGCAAGUGCGCAAAUGAUUGAGACUGGUGAAGGCAUCGACUGGGCUGUUGGAGAGGCACUUGCCAUUGCUACACUGCUAGUAGAAGGUAACCAUGUACGAUUGAGUGGACAGGAUGUUGAGAGAGGUACAUUCAGUCAUCAGACAUGCUGUACUUCACGAUCAGGAAACGGGGCAAAGGUAUUGCCCUCUGGACCAUGUUAUUGCGAACCAAGAUGAGGAGAUGUUUACGGUUAGCAACAGCUCACUGUUGGAGUUUGGUGUUCUUGGAUUUGAAUUGGGUUACUCGAUGGAGAAUCCAAACACAUUGGUGAUUUGGGAAGCUCAAUUUGGAGAUUUUGCAAAUGGGGCUCAAGUUAUUUUUGAUCCUUAUCAGUUUUUGAGUAGCGGGGAGUCAAAGUGGCUUCGCAAAACUGGGCUUGUUUUACUGCUUCCACAUGGUUAUGAUGGUCAGGGACCUGAACAUUCUAGUGCACGAUUGGAGCGCUUUCUUCAGAUGAGUGAUGACAAUCCUUAUGUCAUACCUGAGAUGGAUCCUACACUUUGGAAGCAAAUUCAGGAAUGCAAUUGGCAGGUUGUGAAUGUGACCACUCCUGCUAAUUAUUUCCAUGUCCUUUGUCGUCAGAUAAACAGGGAGUUCCACAAGCCUCUUGUUGUGAUGGCUCCUAAAAACUUACUUCGGCACAAGGACUGCAAAUCAAAUUUAUCUGAGUUUGAUGAUGUUCAAGGCCACCCAGGUUUUGACAAGCAUUGAACCUGAUUUAAGCGCCUCAUUAAGGAUCAAAAUGACCACUCUGAUCUGGAGGAGUGUAUUAGAAGGCUUGUUAUUUGCUCUGGGAAGAUUUACUAUGAGAUUGAUGAGGAGCGAAGAAAGGCCAAUGCAAAGGACGUUGCAAUAUGUAGAGUGGAACAGCUUUGCCCCUUCCCAUAUGACCUCAUCCAGUGAGAGGUGAAGCGAUAUUCAAAUGCUGAGAUAGUUUGGUGCCAGGAAGAGCCAAUGAACAUGGUUGCCUACAACUGCAUUGCACCUCGCGUACGCACUGCCAUGAAGUUGUUGAGCAGAGGAACUAUCGAUGACAUCAAAUACAUUGGCCGUGCUCCAUCUGCUGCCACAGCCACCGGUUUCUAUCAAUUUCACCUCAAGGAACAAGCAGACAUUGUGCAUAAAUCAGUGCAGCCGGAGCCAAUCGAUUAAAUUGAUUUAAGCAAGGGCCUAACUGUUGAAAAUCAUACAAUGAUGUACUUGCUUAGAUUAUUGUAUGAAAUGUCCUGAAUCUGUUGAUUCAAAACAAUUGCUUUUGAUAUAUUUGGAGGAUCUAGCCACCAUGGUAUCCCAUGCAUGCAAGUUAAAUGCUGCUUUGUAAGAACACUGGCUUGGUAACUUUGAAUUGCUUUUCUUUUGUUUAUUUAUUUAUUUACACUCUCAGAGAAUCUGAUUUUGAGUACAUUGUAUCAGAAAUGUUUGAAAUGGAAAAAAAGUUCCAGUC